CCUACGGGAGGCAGCAGUAGGGAAUAUUGCUCAAUGGGGGAAACCCUGAAGCAGCAACGCCGCGUGGAGGAUGAAGGUUUUAGGAUUGUAAACUCCUUUUGUUAGAGAAGAUUAUGACUGUGUCUAACGACUAACCACCGGCUAACUCCUUGCCAGCAGCCGCGGUAAUACGGAGGGUGCAAGCUUUAGCCGGAAUAACUGUGCGUAAAGUGUGCGUAGGCGGGGUAAUAAGUCAGAUGUGAAAUCCUGUAGAUUAACGACAGAACUGCAUUGGAAACUUGUACUCUUGAGUGUGGGAGAGGUAGGUGGAACUCUUGGUGUAGGGGUAAAAUCCGUAGAGAUCAAGAGGAAUACUAAUUGCGAAGGCGACCUGCUGGAACAUUACUGACGCUGAUGCACGAAAGCGUGGGGAGCAAACAGGAUUAGAUACCCUAGUAGUC
rnacentral:rRNA from 1 species